rnacentral:rRNA from 1 species
UACGUAGGUGGCGAGCGUUGUCCGGAUUUACUGGGCGUAAAGGGAGCGUAGGCGGACUUUUAAGUGAGAUGUGAAAUACUCGGGCUCAACUUGAGUGCUGCAUUUCAAACUGGAAGUCUAGAGUGCAGGAGAGGAGAAUGGAAUUCCUAGUGUAGCGGUGAAAUGCGUAGAGAUUAGGAAGAACACCAGUGGCGAAGGCGGUUCUCUGGACUGUAACUGACACUGAGGCUCGAAAGCGUGGGGAGCAGACAGG